rnacentral:rRNA from 1 species
CGACCCCAGCUCAGGUUAGAACACCUGCUAAGUUUAAGCAUAUAAUUAAGCAUAGGAAAAGAAACUUACAAGGAUUCCCCUAGUAACGACGAGUGAACCGGGAAGAGCCUAGCAUGAAAAUCAAGUGGUAGUGUCUCCUGAAUUGUAGUCUGUAGAAGCAUCCUUAGUGGUCGACUGGGCCCAAUUCCCCUGGAAGGGGACGCCUGAGAGGGUGAUAGUCCUGUCGGGCCAGGACCCUGCCGCACCAUGAGGCGUUGUCAGCAAGUCGGGUUGUUUGGGAAUGCAGCCCUAAUCGGGUGGUAAAUUCCGUCCAAGGCUAAAUACGGGUGAGAGACCAAUACCAAACAAGUACUGUUAGGGAAAUAUGAAAAGGACUUUGAAAAGAGAGUUAAAGAGUGCUUGAAAUUGCCGAGAGGAAAGCAGAUGGAGGUCGACGAUGCAUCUCAGUCAGAUUCAGAACGACUCAAGCUGGUCCGUCGCUCGACUCUAGGUGCGAACCACCAUAGGCUGUUGCAUCGGCACAAGCGAAGGUGUAGUACUGCCUGUUGGUUUUCCAUUGUGGAAAUCGAGGAAUGAAGUGUGCACCCGUGGGGUGGGCCACUGUGCACCUGCACGCUCGUGGUGUUGGUUGGCGGGAUUUCCAUUCGACCCGUCUUGAAACACGGACCAAGGAGUCUAACAUGUGUGCGAGUCGGUGGGUUUGUAAACCUGCAAGGCAUAAGGAAGCUUAUGGGAGAGAAACCCUCUCCAUGGGGUGCAUUUCCGACCGACCUUGAGCUUGUGCGAAGGGUUCGAGUGUGAGCACACCUGUUGGGACCUGAAAGAUGGUGAACUAUGCCUGAGCAGGGCGAAGCCAGAGGAAACUCUUGUGGAGGCCCGUAGCGAUACUGACGUGCAAAUCAUUCAUUUGACUUGGGUAUAGGGGUGAAAGACUAAUCGAACCAUCUAGUAGCUAGUUUCCUCCAAAUUUUCCCUCAGGAUCGCUGGAGCUCACGUGCGAGUUUUAUCGGGUAAAGAAAAUAAUUAGAGGCAUCAAGGGUGUAAUUCCCUUGACCUAUUCUCAAAAUUUAAAUAGGUAAGAUGGUGCAGCUGCUCCACUGAGCCGUGCCAUGGAAUCGAGAGCUCCAAGUGGGCCAUUUUUGGUAAGCAGAACUGGCGAUGCCUGAUGAACCAAAAGUCGAGUUACGGUGCCAAACUACGCGCUAACCCAGAUCCAACAAAGGGUGUUGGUUGAUUAAGAUAGCAGGAUGGUGGUCAUGGAAGUCGAAAUCCGCUAAGGAUUGUGUAACAACUCACCUGCCGAAUCAACUAGCCCCGAAAAUGGAUGGUGCCGAAGUGCGCAACCUAUACUCGACCAUCAGAGCAAUUGCCAGGCUUUGAUGAGUAGGAGGACGCAGAGGUCGUUGAGAAACCUUAGGCUUGAGCCUGUUUGGACCGGUCCCUGGUGUAGAUCUUGGUGGUAGUAGCAAAUAUUCAAAUGAGAACUUUGAAGACUGAAGUGGGGAAAGGUUCCAUGUGAACAACACUUAGACAUGGGUUAGUCGAUCCUAAGAGAUGGGGAAGCCCUGUAUCAAGGGUGCACUCUGCACAAACAUCGAAAGGGAAUCAUGUUAGUAUUCCUCAACUGGGACAUGGUGGUGGAUGACAAUGUUAGGAAAUCCGGAGACGUUGUCGGGGGCCUCAGGAAGAGUUAUCUUUUCUUUUUAACAGCUUGCCCACCCUGAAAUUGGCUCAAACAAAGAUAGGGUCCAGCAGCUGGAAGAGAAUUGCACGUCUUGUGGUGUCCAAUGUGCCCUCGGCGACCCUUGAAGAUUUGGAGGACCGAGUACCGUCCAUGUCCGGUCGUACUCAUAAUCGCAUCAGGUCUCGAAGGUGAACAACCUCUGGUCAAUAGAACAAUGUACGUAAGAGAAUUUGGCAAAACAGAUCCGUAACUUCAGGAAAAGGAUUGGCUCUGAGGGCUAGGAAUAGGGGUCUGCGUCCUCAACCCGUGGGCUGUCGGAAGUCUGCCCGAGCUGCUAUCGCGACAAGGAUGAGCAGUCACGUGCCGAUUGGGCUAGGAACGUAGAAUGUCCUCUCACGAGGGAUUUUCCUUAGGAAGCGAACAGUCAACUCAAAAUUGGUAUGGACAAGGGGAAUCCGAAUUUUUAAUUAAAACAAAGCAUUGCGAUGGUCCCUGCGGAUGUUGAUGCAAUGUGAUUUUUUCCUAGUGCUCUGAAUGUUAAAGUGAAGAAAUUCAACCAAGCAUGGGUAAACGGCGGUAGUAACUAUGACUCUCUUAAGGUAGCCAAAUGCCUCGUCAUCUAAUUAGUGAUGCACAUGAAUGGAUUAACGAGAUUCCCACUGUCCCUAUAUACUAUCUAGUGAAACCACAGCCAAGGGAAUGGGCUUGGCAGAAUCAGCAGGGAAAGAAGACCCUGUUGAGCUUGACUCUAGUCUGACUUUGUGAAAUGAAUUGAGAGGUGUAGAAUAAGUGGGAGCCGUUUUCGGUGCAAGUGAAAUACCACUACUUUUAACGUUAUUUUACUUAUUCCAUGGGGUGGAGAUGGGGCAUUGCCCCUGUUUUUGGCCGUAAGACACGUUUCGACAGGUCGAUCCAGGCGGAAGACAUUGUCAGGUGGGGAGUUUUGCUGGGGUGACACAUCUAUUAAAAGAUAAUGCAGGUGUCCUAAGAUGAGCUCAACGAGAACAUAAAUCUCGUGUGGAACAAAAGGGUAAAAGCUCAUUUGAUUUUGAUUUUUAGUAUGAAUACAAACCAUGAAAGCAUGGCCUAUCUAUCCUUUAGACUUUCAGAAUUUGAAGCUAGAGGUGUCAAAAAAGUUACCACAGGGAUAACUGGCUUGUGGCAGCCAAGUGUUCAUAGUGACAUUGCUUUUUGAUCCUUCUAUGUCGGCUCUUCCUAUCAUUAUGAAGCAAAAUUCACCAAGUGUUGGAUUGUUCACCCACCAAUAGGGAACGUGAGCUGGGUUUAGACUGUCAUGAGACAGGUUAGUUUUACCCUACUGAUGAACCACGCCGCAAUAGUAAUUCAACUUAGUAUGAGAGGAACCAUUGAUUCACACAAUUGGUCAUCGCGCUUGGUUGAAAAUACAGUAGUGCAAAGCUACCGUGUGUCGGAUUAUGACUAAAUGCCUCUAAGUCAGAAUCCACGCUAGAAGCGGCACUUGUCACUCCUCGACUGUAUCUUGACCUACAGUAGGGGUGUCACUUCGGCACCCCCAGCGGAUCAUGUCACUUGUGAAUCUCGACCGAGAAGCAUCUCGAUCGGGGUAGCUUUGAAGUUCAAUUUCAAACGGUCAUUGAGAAGAAUCCUUUGUAGAGGACUUAAAUAUGCGACAAGGUAUUGUAAGUGGCAAAGUAGCCUUGUUGCCACGAUCCACUGAGAUUCAACCCUUCGUUGCCUUGAUUCAG